GCGCACGUGGCGGAAUUGGUAGACGCGCUAGCUUGAGGGGUUAGUGAUCUUAAGAUCGUGGAAGUUCGAGUCUUCUCGUGCGCA
rnacentral:tRNA from 1 species